rnacentral:lncRNA from 1 species
ACCGUCUAGACUCCAGACUCCAGGGACAGACUAGAGGCCAGCCUUGAAGGUACAGAGCGUCACCCAUUCAGGCAUGGUUUGGGACAGACUUGAUGAGGACGGCCCAUCUCCCCAGAGUUCUUCCGGGCUAUAGUUCCCCUUCCCCCCAACUCUUCUCAUUGGUCCACGCCAGGGUAAACAGCAGAUAAAGGCAAGCCAGUGUCUUCUGCAGACAGAACACACCUCAGAGUUUCAAGGGUGACACAGAAAGUGCCCCUGAGCACUAGGGGGUCCAUGUGAUACUGUGAGAAACCGUCUGGGGUUGGGCAUGGUGGUGCAUGCUGAUAAUCUUAGCACUUGGGAGGCCGAGGCUAAAUGACCAGAUUUAGACUUAGCAGGGCUGUGUAGUGGGGCCUGACCUUAAAAUAAACAAAUAAAAUACAACUCUGGUUCACUCAUCUUACCUUGAGAA